rnacentral:rRNA from 1 species
GAGUAAAGAUUUCGGUCGCUUUGGGAGGAGCUCGCUUACUAUCAGCUUGUUGGUAGGGUAAUGGCCUACCAAGGCUAUGACGGUUAGGGGGUGUGAGAGCAUGACCCCCAGCAUUGGCACUGAAACACUGGCCAAACACCUACGGGUGGCUGCAGUCGAGAAUCUUCCACAAUGGGGGAAACCCUGAUGGAGCGAUGCUGCGUGCGGGAUGAAGGUCUUCGGGUUGUAAACCGCUUUUGUAGGGGACGAAAUUUUUGACGGUACCCUUUCGAAUAAGAGGUUGCUAACUCUGUGCCAGCAGCAGCGGUAAUACAGAGACCUCAAGCGUUAUCCGGAUUUACUGGGCGUAAAGCGUCUGUAGGGGGUUUAUUAAGUUCCAAGUAAAAUUUCAAGGCUCAACUUUGAAUUCGCUUGGAAAACUAAUAAACUGGAGUCUAGCAGAGGUGCAUGGAACUUGUGGUGUAGGAGUGAAAUCCGUUGAUAUCACAAGGAACACCAAAGGCGAAGGCAUUGCACUGGGCUAGCACUGACCCUGAGAGACGAAAGCGUGGGGAGCAAAACGGAUUAGAUACCCGUGUAGUCCACGCCCUAAACGAUGAAUGCUAAAUGUUCGGGGACUCGACCCCCUGGGUGUUACAGCUAACGCGUUAAGCAUUCCGCCUGGGAAGUACGGCCGCAAGGCUAAAACUCAAAGGAAUAGACGGGGAUCCGCACAAGCGGUGGAGCGUCUGGUUUAAUUCGACAGUAAGCGUGGUACCUCACCAGGGUUUGACAUCCCUUGACAGCCUUGGAAACAAGGUUUCCUUCGGGCAAGGUGACAGGUGCUGCAUGGUCGUCGUCAGUUCGUGCCGUGAGGUGUUCCGUUAAGUCGGGAAACGAACGAAACCCCUAUUGCAUGUUACAAUUUCUCAUGCAAGACUGCCCGGAUAUACUGGGAGGAAGGUGGGGAUGACGUCAGAUCUGCAUGGUCCUUAUACCCUGGGCGACACAGGCGCUACAAUGGCAGAGACAAAGGGUUGCAAAACCGCAAGGUGAAGCUAAUCCCAAAAACUUUGUCUAAGUUCGGAUUGAAGGCUGCAAUUCGCCUUCAUGAAGCUGGAAUCGCUAGUAAUCGUGAAUCAGCCACGUCACGGUGAAUAUGUUCCCGGAUCUUGUACUCACCGCCCGUCACAC